UUACUUGCUUUGAUUGGACAAUGACAAGGUCAUUCCUUUGUGAUUACAUUGUGAUUACAGUGUCAUUCCAUUGUGAUUGAUUACAUUGGGCCCGCCUCUAAAAGAAGAAACCUUUAGUAAACACUGAGAGUCUCUAGAUUACUUACAAGGCCCAAUACAAGGAAAUGAUGCCUGAAAAUAUUCUUGUGAAAGAGAAGAGGAUCUCUUAUGCUAUUUCUUAAGGGGGGAAAAAAAAAUCAGACUCGGUCAGCAACUUGUAACCUGUGCAAACUCUGUGACUGUCUCUAUGACAGCCUGAAGGUCAAAAGACCAGAUCAUCUCUACAUUAGUCAACUCUCCGAAACUCGAGGAUGUCAAUCAUUGGAAAGGAUCAGCUGACCUAUCUCCCCACAAGCGCUCUGACAGAUUUAAUGUUCACAGCAUCUAUUGUCAACAAAGAAAAUAAAGGGAGAAGAAACUCAAUUUGUAUACUUCCCUCCUAAGGCAUUCAAGCUCAGGAAAACUGUCACUGCUUUUCUCUUGUCCUCUAUGUUCAGUGCCACAGAUCAGCAACUACUCUGAGGAAGAAAGCAGGUAAAGAGGAAAUCAGUGCCAAGCUAUGAGUACAGGCAGCCCUGUGAAAAGAUCAGCUAGUGAGAAACUAAGUCCUUCCACCAAUCGUCAGUGAGAAACUGAGGUAUCCUGUCAACAGUCACAUGAGUGAGUCAUUUUCAAAUGAAUCUUCCAUCCCCAUUCAAGCAUAUGGAUGACUAAAGUCUGAGCUUAUAGCAUGACUGCAAACUCUUGAGACCCAAAGCCAUAAUCAUUCAGUUGAGCUGCUUCUGCAUUCUUGACCAUCACCCACUGUGAGGGAUAAUAAAUGUGUAUGUAUGUG